UAUACUCCACGGCUCUGUAAUGGGAUGGGAUCCGUAGCCCCAGUGACGUCCUCGUCGUGCAGAGUGGUAACAUGUGUCACCACAUAUCCAAGCUUGGGUACACGGGCUUGACCCAACCCCUUGGGCGGAUGGUGGCAUAUGGCGAACCAGGAUAUG
rfam:Anopheles gambiae str. PEST whole genome shotgun sequencing project, whole genome shotgun sequence.